rnacentral:rRNA from 1 species
CGCGCAGGCGGCCAGGUCAGUCGAAUGUGAAAGCCCCCCGGCUCAACUGGGGAGGGUCAUUCGAUACUGCCUGGCUUGAAGAUAGGAGAGGGAAGCGGAAUUUCAUGUGUAGUGGUGAAAUGCGUAGAUAUCUGAAGGAACACCAGUGGCGAAGGCGGCUUUCUGGCCUAUUCUUGACGCUGAGGCGCGAAAGCUAGGGGAGCGAACG